GUGGGGAAUAUUGGACAAUGGGGGCAACCCUGAUGGAGCGACGCCGCGUGGAGGAUAAGGUCUUCGGAUUGUAAACUCCUGUCAUGCGUGAACAAGGUUGCUUGGUUAAUACCUGGGCAAAUUGAUGGUAACGCAAGAGGAAGAGACGGCUAACUCUGUGCCAGCAGCCGCGGUAAUACAGAGGUCUCAAGCGUUGUUCGGAAUCACUGGGCGGAAAGGGUGCGUAGGUGGCGUGGUAAGUCAGAUGUGAAAGCCCGGGGCUCAACCUCGGAACUGCAUCCGAUACUGCCAUGCUAGAGUAAUGGAGAGGUGACUAGAAUUCUCGGUGUAGCAGUGAAAUGCGUAGAUAUCGAGAGGAACACCAAAGGCGUAGGCAGGUCACUGGACAGUUACUGACACUGAGGCACGAAGGCCAGGGGAGCGAACGGGAUUAGAAUCCCGAGUAGUCC
rnacentral:rRNA from 1 species